GUGGGGAAUUUUGCGCAAUGGGCGAAAGCCUGACGCAGCAACGCCGCGUGCGGGACGAAGGCCCUCGGGUUGUAAACCGCUUUCAGCAGGGAAGAUCCAAGACGGUACCUGCAGAAGAAGCUCCGGCUAACUACGUGCCAGCAGCCGCGGUAAUACGUAGGGGGCGAGCGUUAUCCGGAUUCAUUGGGCGUAAAGCGCGCGUAGGCGGCCGCCUAAGCGGAACCUCUAAUCCCGGGGCUCAACCUCGGGCCGGGUUCCGGACUGGGCGGCUCGAGUGCGGUAGAGGAGAGCGGAAUUCCCGGUGUAGCGGUGGAAUGCGCAGAUAUCGGGAAGAACACCGAUGGCGAAGGCAGCUCUCUGGGCCGUCACUGACGCUGAGGCGCGAAAGCUGGGGGAGCGAACAGG
rnacentral:rRNA from 1 species